GGGAGGCUCUCCCACUCUGUUCUUCAUGCUCAACUCAUUAAUCUCUGGGUUCUGUGCCCAUGCUUUCAAAGGCCUAUGUAGCCUUGCUCUGACCGCUGGUCUGCCCCUGCUUUAGAGUUCAUCUUCCGGUUGCAUUGACGUCUGGGUAACCAGCAAGGCCAUCGUCCUUCUGAUCAAGCCCUUCAACCAUCACCUGCACAAAGUCGAGAGACAAUAACGACCACAGCUUUCAGCUACACGGCCACCUCGGAGGAAGGUGCUGUCAUCGUCUCCAAGGGACAGAGGAGGCAUCCAAGCCCAGAGGACUUAAGGCACUUGCCCUGUGCCCCUCGGCUCUAAGUGGUCCAGUGCGGAAUGACUGGGGGGACCUUCCCUGGUCCCUCAGGAGCUCCACACCCGCACAAGCCAGGGGAAAAGGGAGACUCAGCUGGCCCAGGGCCCCUGCAUGCUGCCUUGGGCUAGGAAACCGUCUUCCUGGAGGAUUAGAGGAUGGUGAGAAAAGAAAACAAAGGAGGCUGCAGAGAGGGGCCGGAGCUCGGAGCCUGCCCUCCUGAGAACCUGCCCGGAUCUCAGGUUGGUGAAGGGAAUGUUUGGAUACCCUGUGAAGAUGAAGGCAGAGAUCCAGGUGAUGCUUCUACAAGCAAAGGAACACCGAAGAUGGCCAGCAAGACGGCAGAAGCCAGGAGACGUCCUCAGAAGAAAGAAAGGCUGCCGACACGUUGACCCUGGACUUCUGGCUUCCAGAACUACAAGACGAUAAAUUUCUCUUAUGAAGCCUCCUGACCAGGCCCACCAGUGAAUGGCUGUAGGAUGGAAGAUAUUAACACACUUCCUCUGGAGUCUGGCCAGAACCAGGACUUUACCCCCUCCCCUUUCAGUAUAAAAGAAGCCUGAAUUCUUUUUUGUUUUGUUUUGUUUUUUCUUUUUAGGGCUGCAUCUGCAGCAUAUGGAACUUCCUGGGCUAAGGGCUGAAUCGGAGCUGCAGCUGCCAGCCUACGCCACAGCCACAGCAAUGCCAAGUGGCAUCUGUGACCUACGCCACAGCUUGUGGCGACACUGGAUUCUUAACCCACUGAGAGAGGCCAGGGAUCAAACCCGCAUCCUCAAGGAUCCUAUGUUGGAUUCUUAACCCGCUGAGCCACAGGAGGAACUCCAGAAGCCUGAACUCCAACCCACCGACGAUGGUUCUUUGGGACACUAGUAUACCAUCUUCUUGGUCUGCUGCCUUUCUGAAUAAAGUCGCUUUUCCUCGCC
ensembl:lncRNA